AGUGAACGCUGGCGGUAUGCCUAACACAUGCAAGUCGAACGGCAGCACAGUAUGAUCUUGCUCUUACGGGUGGCGAGUGGCGGACGGGUGAGGAAUACAUCGGAAUCUACUUUUUCGUGGGGGAUAACGGAGGGAAACUGACGCUAAUACCUCAUACGACCUACGGGUGAAAGCAGGGGAUCUUCGGACCUUGCGCGAUUGAAUGAGCCGAUGUCGGAUUAGUUAGUUGGCGGGGUAAAGGCCCACCAAGGCGACCAUCCGUACCUGGUCUGAGAGGAUGGUCAGCCACACUGGAACUGAGCCACGGUCAAGAUUCCAACGGGAGGAAGCAGUGGGGAAUAUUGGACAAUGGGGACAAGCUUGAUCCAGACCUACCGCGUAGGGAAAGAAGGCCUUCGGGUGUUAAAGCCCUUUUGUUGGGAAAGAAGAGCAGCAGGUUAAUAACCCGCUGUUCUGACGGUAACCACAGAAUAAGCACCGGCUAACUUCGUG
rnacentral:rRNA from 1 species